CAGUAGCCACGGUAAUACGGAGGGGGCUAGCGUUGUUCGGAAUUACUGGGCGUAAAGCGCACGUAGGCGGCUUGGUAAGUUAGAGGUGAAAGCCCGGAGCUCAACUCCGGAAUUGCCUUUAAGACUGCCGAGCUAGUAGGUGAGAGAGGUAAGUGGAAUUCCGAGUGUAGAGGUGAAAUUCGUAGAUAUUCGGAAGAACACCAGUGGCGAAGGCGGCUUACUGGCUCAUUCUAGACGCUGAGGUGCGAAAGCGUGGGGAGCAAACAGGAUUAGAGACCCGUGUAGUCCCUGUCUCUUAUAC
rnacentral:rRNA from 1 species